rnacentral:lncRNA from 1 species
AUUAGGAAGCGUUGGUUAUACGCACGUGGGGUAAGAAACGCUAAGCACAGACAUCUACACACUUACAAUGCGGAGUAGAAAGUGACGUUUCGCAGUAGGUAAUUAAAGAUGAGCGAUGUUGGUCAAUACAAAGCGCGCCAUCAUGACCAUUAGACCUUGCGGUAAGAAGUUUGUUGCUUGUUCCAUAACACUGCCAUUACAUGGGCCAGUAUCGCCAAAACGUCUUACGAUAAAAAUGUUUCGCAAGAUAAUAUUACAGCCAAUCACAAUGCGGGACAUAUAAUUAGUGAAGCCGGGUGACCAAUGAGAAAACGCAAUUGCAAAAGAAGUUUUGUGAAUUCUGGCCCAUGGUUUUUUAAAAAAAACUGUCUCGUGCUUCGUUAAGGUCUAGUUAAGAAGAAACCAGGGUCAGAUGUGUAUUGUCUAAUGUGUGAAUGGGUAACAUAAGUUCCACCAAAACAUUGUUUUGUUUUUUUCUCCGACGUAGUUAAGUAGCCCUGCUAUUCAACAACAGUCAACGUACGGUACCCGCUACAGCUGGUACACAUAUUUCUGAUACACUUACACCAAUUUUAUUAUUCCUUACGGCGACGAACCACUGAAACCUUGCGGAACGGGCUCAAGGUAUUCUGUGCAAUUGUCCGAAAUAAUUUCGCACAAGAUUAUUCAAUUCCGCUUUGGUUUGGAAAAUGGAAUUUCGUUAUAUAACAUGAUUUUAUCAGCGUGAUUGGUGUAGAAUGUAUUUGUUAAAAAGAAUGAAUGGUAAUUCUGUCCUUUGAGUAUCGAUCCAAACUUUUCGACACGAAGGAAAGUCAGGCGUGUGAACAAGUACUCAAGAUAAAUGAACGAGGCCACACAAAUGGCGUUUACGUUGUCUGAUAGAUAAGUUCAGCGCCCGUGCUUCGUCAAAUUAUCGGAUCAUUUAUGAAUAAAGUGGCAAUACACUAGCAUUCUAAUGAGUAACUCUACGGAUGUAUUGAAAAGCAUAAUUGCUGAAUUUGACAGAUAAAGCAAAACAGUAGGCCUGAUUAAUACGCAGAAAACUAAUGUUCAGCAGUCUUGCAAGAGAACAACGGUUUGCUAUAAGUAGCGGGUCAACAUUUCGAUAACCAAUGCAUAAGUAUGUUUCAAUUAGUGCGGCAGCUUGAAGUUUAUAGAAAUAAUUUUAAUGUAUAGUUUAAGAAAUGUAUCUUAAUAGAGUGUUUGUAUAAUGUGCUACCUGUAAUCGUUUACUUGUAUUUCCUGCAUUGUAAAUCAUGUACAUGCAUGCCGAACGCAAUAAGAGCUAGACCCUCGGUCAUCUCCCACAGCCUUUGGAUCUUGCACAUCCUUCUGUACAAUACACAAAUAAAUUAAUUAAUAAAUAAACUUCAAACUUCUGUGGCUUUGGUGCAUUAGGUAUAAUCUGUGCAUCGUGGCCAAGAGAUCGAGAACUUGAACUUUGUUUAGUCAAACUCCCUAUCUAGCUUUUUUGUUGCAGUGUAAGUGCUCACUGAAUUUCUCUAAAACACGUGAAGAAAGGGUACAUGAUACAUUUUUACGCAUUCCCCAGACUUUCUUUCCAGUUACGAUUUGAAUGUGAGCUGUCUUCCUCGCAUAUGCGCACGCAUAGAGUUCUGAAAUCACCAAGCUCUGUUGGUCAUGAAGAGGUGCUUUGUCAGAUGAUGCACAGCUGUUUGAAAGUGUCACGCAGUAUGUUUGAGGGUCCCUUCAGACAUUGUUCUAAAUCUACCCGUACAUGAACACGCGAACGGGUCAUCCACCAAGGUAGCACACACAAGCUCAUCAGUCAUACUCGCAUUCGCAGGCUCCAGCACGUUUCUAUGCCUUGUAUGAACAGGUACCUUUCCCAACACAAAUAAAGCAGAAUUAUGUUACGUAUUGUUUGGUUUGAAACUGUGAUUUCUUUCUUCCUGCAUUCCAAUGUACAGACACCGAAUUUCAACAAUUUUAAAACACGCGCACUCACACAAGAGUUCUGAAGAGUAGCAUAAAAAAGGAUUGUUUAAAGAAUAUGGCAUAGCAAACCUGUGCAAUUUGGAGUCACUGGAAAAGAUCCCAUGGUCAACUACAGGGGACACCUGUACUCCAUUGACUUUUUGAGAGGGUACAUAGCAUCAGUACUAAAUGAACGCUUGCACAAAGGAUUUUUGUUUGAAAUCUGUGACUCGUUUUUCAAGAAGAAAAUCAAUGUUCGUCUUGAUUCCUUUCAGCUGAGAUUUAGCAAAAACUAACAUAUGCAUGUGAUGACAUAUCAGUGCUGAAUAAUUAGGACAUCCUGGAAAUUGUUAACUGCAGUGUGUAACAGUGAUGCACAAAACUCCCAUACUGAAGCGCGACAUCGUUUCUUUUUUGCUAGUAUAACAACUGCUAUGAGCAAUUUCUCGUGAUAUCCGCACCAUGUCGCUGCAAACAUGGCCAGUAAAGGUAAUGUUGACUGUGAUGCAAAUGUUCGAAUCAAAAUUACACCAGUAUGACACGAAACGUAGAUGCUGGAAAUGAAAGUACAUGCAUCAAUUUACCCUACAAUUUUGUGUUUCAAUCCGUGAGUAUCUUACAUGUGUAGAGGCACCUGAACAUGUGCUCUUAUGUACGCGAACACGCAGUGCAAUGAGUGGCUCAUUUCACAUUGUUACUACGUUCUAUUUCAAGAUCCUAAACCAGUGACUAACACCAAAUCCCACAUCCUCAAUUCUUGCUAUAACAUUUUCCUUUACGUGUUCCGGUUUCCCAGAUUCGCCAAAACCUAGUACAAUUUUGCUUCCGCGGUAAGCAGCUAACACUCAGAAAGCCAGGUCAGCCUUGAGCAAAUUUGGAACAAUUCGAAAGACAACACAUGAAAAUACUACCGCUGCAAAAGCUCAAUAUAACGAAAAGUAAGUAUGCAUGAACGAGUGGUACUAGGGUCUGUUUUUCGUACCCAAAGCAGGUGCUUUUGAAAGUACAGCAGAGGUGGUAUGUUCCAGCUAGUAAACAAAAAUGAACUGCUUCGGUCCAAGUGGCGGCUAGAUGCACGACAUGAAGCGGCAGUGCAUGCAAAAUGUGCGAAGAUUUAAGCGCGAACAGUAUGAGCAAAUAGUGGAACCACAGGUAGCGCAAGAGACAGGGGAGUAAUGCAGAAAAAACGUGCGGAGCAGAGUUUGCAUUUACUCUCUUGUUGUUCAAUGCGGUACAGCUCACCUGCCAGGUAAGACCAAUUAGUCCAAAUUUACGUUUUAGGAAACAGUGUUAAAACGUAAAUGCUACUAGAAAUCCAGUAAAUAUGACUAAAGAAUCUCGUACAACAGUACAACUAGCACUGCAGUUAUCCCACAGGUACGGUAAAAGUGAGCUUCUGAGCAGUUGUACGGAAAUAUUGAAUGGCUAAGUUUUGUCGCAUCCCUGCCAAUAUAUUCAAGAAGUCUCUAAACACAAUAGGCAAAUUACCCAAUCAGCAAAUGAGCUUAAAUUGGUAGGCAACCACUUCGUGCUCUAUUUGAAUAUCCUUUGCCUAAGAAGGUAAUUUGUAAUCCAAAAAACUUAGACGAGAAAUUAUUUUUUUAAGUUGACAUCGCAAGCAAUGUAUCGAUAAUACUGGUACCGCUAUUUCAAUUUCAAUGUAUCUUAAUCAUUUUAUCCACAGCGAGAGGAGCUCUCAGAUUGAGACUGGAGCAGGACGCCGACAUUAAUCGUUUGAUAGACAGUUAACCCAUUUUGAACACUGAACUCCGACGUUUGCUUUUAAUUUUGAUCCGUAGAUCAACCGUGAGUGGAUCUGCUUCAGCUUUAGUGAACUGUGUUGCACCUAAAGAACAUAGAAAAGACAAACAGCAACCAAAGGUGCAAAAUAAAGCAGAAGAUGAAAAAUUACAACAUAAGCUAAGCAUGCAUGAAGAGAAGAGAUGGAAGAAGCAGCAACUGCAGUAAAAAGCGCAGUGCAGCCAUCCUAUGAUGGUGUGCUAGACAAAUUGAUGAUUCUAGCAAACACAUUGACCCCAUAGGUUUCAGAAUAUUUGGCUUCAUUCUGAUUGCCCGAGAUCAACUUUCAGUGAUAAGGCCACGGCUAUCAAAGACAGUGAAGUGGGUUGACCCUAUGACAAUUUGGCCACUUGAGGUUCUUUAAUGUACAGCACAUAUCACCUGAAAAUUCCUGCAUUCCGACGCUCAUAAGAAUGUGGUACUUUUUGAGUGAAGCAUACAAGCACCAGCCAUCCUGUAGAAGUUAGUGUUCAGCGUCUGACCAACACUCUGUUUUACAUCUGUACUAAACUGUCAAUAAAAAAAUUAUUUCUAAAGACUCAGAGUCUGCAAAAGCUUUUUACUGGAAGUCUUACAUUGUUAGAAUCACUACCACUGACACAUUAUGACACAGAUUUGUCCUUCAGCACCAAUAUAUUUUACGUAUAUAUUUCUUGUGAUAUCUCUCCACUGGUUUCUAAAAGAUGAAUAACUUUUUUUACUUGAGGGAUGAAUGUGCAAAUAGCUGUGGAAGAGUGCAGUGAUGUGUUAAUCAGACAGAGUGAUAUAGAAAAUAAUCCAGUAAUCCAAGUCUUGCUUUAGCUAAGGAAAAUCAGCAAAAGUUAAGUUAAACUUGUACCUUGUUUGUACACCGCGGAAUGAGAUAUAAUGUAGUUUUGUGUCAUGUGUGACAAGUGCACGCAAGUGUUAUACGCAAUUUAAGUCGUACCACGUUCUAGCAGAAUUCUAGCAAGCCAAAUAGAUAUAGAAUCUAGACUGUCCAUGCAUUCAUCAGAUGAAGCCCACUUACAAAAGAGAAUGGAUUUGUGACAGUAUUUCUUUUUGGUACAAGAAACCAUUCUUAAAGGAAAAGUUUGCCAAAGUUAGAGUUGUGUCUCAACAUAUCACUAAAGUUUGCUUAUUUUUGGCGCCAGUUUUAUGCAUGAAAAUAAGGUAGUACUUUGACAUCACCCUUUGGCAAAGAGACAAUUCCAUACUGGCUAGGAUUCUCAAUAUCCGAGUAUUUCCAUUAUAAACACAUGUCCAAAAUGCUUGUCAAGAUUGCAGCAUUGCUAAAACAAAAAAGGCAAUGCACAAAUACCAUACUUCAUAAGUGCAGCUGAGACACCUUUUUUAUAUCUGCCACUUGCGCAGCUCUGUGAGAUAUGCUAAUGAGUGCGCAUAUUAUGUUGACGCAAGCGCAUAGCAAAGAAGACACACAGACACGCCUCAUUCUCUAAAGAGGUAGGUUUUUGUAUUUAAUGAAAUCUCAAAACGUUUGACAGGUCAUGAGGAAAGCUUCAUGCUCAAGUGGUCCAGCAAGAGA